rnacentral:misc_RNA from 1 species
GAGUGGUGUUUGGUUUGUUACGGGUGGUUGGCUCUUUGCUUGCGCAACAACUUCCACCUGGCUUACCUCUUCAGUUUUGCAUCAAUGCCUGUAUUGCAUUGAAUCCAAAGUGGGUUUCUUGUGUUGCAUACCAAAUUGAUGGUAUCGUUUGAUGAAUUGAUGUCCCUUUUUCGUCUUGCGUCGCACAUGCGAUGUGAGAUGAACCUUGAAGCACUCUUUGUGAUCCACUCUUUUGAUGCACAUGCGUUGAUGGUGUGGCUCAUUAAGUGUUGCUUGGUCUCAUGGAUAUUGAAGUUKGUGUGGGCAUGGGAUCUUAGUGUUCUUACUAGUUCCUUGUUUGCCUUGCUUUAGCUUCUCCAAUACGAUUUGACUAUCACGUAUGGCACGUCUCAGCGUGGUAGUCUAAUUCGAAGAUGAAUG